GUACAAUCAUAUUUUUAUCAGUAACAUGUAUCGCUACGCACUCGUUUUGUUUCUGUUUAUAAAUGACGAUAUCUUCGGAAAUGCAAUGUCAAGACAAAAACGGUGUAUCGUGGUCCAGAAGCAGUCAACAGGUGGUGGUGUCAGCAGUUCAGAGGAUUCUGACAGGCGAUCAAGUCACCGCUAUUCAGACAGAGGAUUUGAGGGACUCAACCGUGAUUCGCAGAUACUCCCAGAAUUACUGAACUACAAAGUGCCGAUAAAGAAAAUCCAGGAUUUAUUUAAUAUAAGGAAAUUCAUUCAAAUAUAAUAAAACAAAUGAACACA